rnacentral:rRNA from 1 species
CCUACGGGAGGCAGCAGUGAGGAAUAUUGGUCAAUGGGCGCAAGCCUGAACCAGCCAAGUCGCGUGAGGGAUGACGGUCCUAUGGAUUGUAAACCUCUUUUGUCGGGGAGCAAGGCCCGCCACGUGUGGCGGGAAGGAGAGUACCCGAAGAAAAAGCAUCGGCUAACUCCGGGCCAGCAGCCGCGGUAAUACGGAGGAUGGGAGCGUUAUCCGGAUUUAUUGGGUUUAAAGGGUGCGUAGGCGGAAGGUUAAGUCAGCGGUAAAAUGUCGGUGCUCAACACCGGCCUGCCGUUGAAACUGGUCUUCUUGAGUGAGCGAGAAGUAUGCGGAAUGCGUGGUGUAGCGGUGAAAUGCAUAGAUAUCACGCAGAACUCCGAUUGCGAAGGCAGCAUACCGGCGCUCAACUGACGCUGAGGCACGAAAGCGUGGGGAUCGAACAGGAUUAGAUACCCUAGUAGUC